AUGUAUAACGGUGCCUGCCAUGCAGGAGAAUAGGAAAGUUAAGUGAAAAUCUUACACGGUCACGCCGCUGUAAUGGAGGAGCUGUAUUUUAAUAUGCCACUGCUGUAACGGGAAGGCAAAAUGCAGCAAAGAUACCUGAGUCAGAAGACCUGCCUUAUACA
rnacentral:ncRNA from 1 species